rnacentral:lncRNA from 1 species
UGCGGCUCGGAUCCUGUGUUGCUGUGGCUGUGUGUAGGCCGGCGGCUGCGGCUCUGAUUCAACCCUACCCCUAGCCUGCGAACUUGCAUAUGCCGUGGAUGUGGCCCUAAAAAGACAAACAAACCAACAAAAUUGAUAAGCACCUCGAGAGCCGCCCUGCCCUGACACAAAGUCAUCCUCCUGUUCCUGCUUCAGCCGUGUUUCUAAAGCAGAGCCCCAGUGUGAACCCCACUUCUUGGGGGCGUCACUCCACCUGCUGUUUCCUUCCCAGUCUCUGCUGCCCCAACCACCUCAACAUAAAAACACACUUACUUCAGUUCACUUCUUGACCAGAUCCUCCAAAAGGAGAAUAAUUCCAGAACUGAGAGUAACAUGGCAUUGACGAUGAGAAACCGUGACGUCCAGUAAUGGACCUCCAGCCAGUCCCAAGCAAAUUCGGCAAUCAGCUGGUACGGAAGGAAGGAGUAUUUCACCAGGAAUUCUCUCCACUGCUUCCAUGUGGGCUCCCUCAGAUCCUUUCCGAGUAACACACAGAAAAGGACCAGAAGGCUUGCCCCAAAAGUACCAACGCAGAGGACCUUGCCCCCUAAUGACCAACUAGACACACAGAACCACCCCCAGUCAAUGGGCUCCACCGACGACUCUGCAGACCAGGUGGGCAUCUGUCCCUGCCAAGGGCCCUGUGCCAGCUGAUGCGAGGACUCCCAUCUGUGAGGAUGGAUGCUGAUCCUGCCUCAUGGUAGGAGAAAUAACCAUCCUUUGGGGACCCUGUGAAGGGACACUCACCACGCUGGAGGGCCCAAAACCCUAAAGCUCAGGCAGUCUGGACCUGUGCUCUCUUUGCUUUUUGUUUUGGCCUCCCCAGCAGCACGUGGAAGUUCCCAGACCAAGAACUGUACCAGCGCCACAACAGCGACCUAAGCCACUGCAGGGACGAGGUCCUGUCCUUAACCUGCUGUGCCACCAGGGAACUCCUAAGCUGCGUUCUCUUAUAACAGAGGCAGUGCUGGGUUUCGUUGCCUAAAUAUUC